UAAAAUCAAAGAACUCAGAGAGAAUACUCAAACCACCAUUAAGCUCUUUCAAGAAUGUUGUCCUCAUUCCACUGAUAGAGUCGUGCUUAUUGGUGGAAAACCUGAUAGAGUUGUGGAAUGUAUCAAGAUUAUCUUGGAUCUUAUCUCUGAGUCUCCAAUUAAAGGACGGGCCCA